GUACACUCCUACGGAAGGCAGCAGUGGGGAAUUUUGGACAAUGGGCGAAAGCCUGAUCCAGCAAUGCCGCGUGUGUGAAGAAGGCCUUCGGGUUGUAAAGCACUUUUGUCCGGAAAGAAAUCCUUGGCUCUAAUACAGUCGGGGGAUGACGGUACCGGAAGAAUAAGCACCGGCUAACUACGUGCCAGCAGCCACGGUAAUACGUAGGGUGCGAGCGUUAAUCGGAAUUACUGGGCGUAAAGCGUGCGCAGGCGGUUUGCUAAGACCGAUGUGAAAUCCCCGGGCUCAACCUGGGAACUGCAUUGGUGACUGGCAGGCUAGAGUAUGGCAGAGGGGGGUAGAAUUCCACGUGUAGCAGUGAAAUGCGUAGAGAUGUGGAGGAAUACCGAUGGCGAAGGCAGCCCCCUGGGCCAAUACUGACGCUCAUGCACGAAAGCGUGGGGAGCAAACAGGAUUAGAUACCCCAGUAGUCCCA
rnacentral:rRNA from 1 species